rnacentral:rRNA from 1 species
ACGCUAAAAGCUCGGAAGGUGCGGGGUAUCGAACAGGAUUAGAUACCCUGGUAGUCCCGCACGGUAAACGAUGGGAUGCCCGCUGUUUGCGAUAUACUGUGAGCGGCCAAGAGAAAUCGUUAAAGCAUCCCACCUGGGGGAGUACGCCGGCAACGGUGAAAACUCAAAGGAAUUAACGGGGGCCCGCACAAGCGGAGGAACAUGUGGUUUAAUUCGAUGAUACGCGAGGAACCUUACCCGGGCUUGAACUGCAGCGGAAGGAUACAGAGAUGUUGACGCCCUUCGGGGUCGCUGUGGAGGUGCUGCAUGGUUGUCGUCAGCUCGUGCCGUGAGGUGUCGGCUUAAGUGCCAUAACGAGCGCAACCCUUUUCAUUAGUUGCCAUCAGGUAAUGCUGGGCACUCUGGUGAUACUGCCACCGUAAGGUGUGAGGAAGGUGGGGAUGACGUCAAAUCAGCACGGCCCUUACGUCCGGGGCUACACACGUGUUACAAUGGGAGGUACAGAGAGUCGGAUGUACGCAAGUACAUUCUAAUCCUAAAAGCCUUCCUCAGUUCGGAUUGGGGUCUGCAACCCGACCCCAUGAAGCUGGAUUCGCUAGUA